CCUACGGGUGGCAGCAUUGAGGAAUAUUGGUCAAUGGACGAGAGUCUGACCCAGCCAAGUCGCGUGAAGGAUGACUGCCCUAUGGGUUGUAAACUUCUUUUAUAUGGGAAUAAAAUGUUCCACGUGUGGGCUUUUGUAUUUACCAUAUGAAUAAGAAUCGGCUAACUCCGUGCCAGCAACCGCGGUAAUACGGAGGAUCAGACCGUUUUCCGGAUUUAUUGGGUUUACAGGGAGCGUAGGUGGAUUGUUAAGUCAGUUGUGAAAGUUUGCGGCUCAACCUAAAAUUGCAGUUGAAACUGGCAGUCUUGAGUACAGUAGAGGUGGGCGGAAUUCGUGGUGGAGCGGUGAAAUGCUUAGAUAGCACGAAGAACUCCGAUUGCGAAGGCAGCUCACUGGACUACAACUGACACUGAGGCUCGAAAGUGUGGGUAUCAAACAGGAUUAGAUACCCGAGUAGUC
rnacentral:rRNA from 1 species